GGGGGGGGGGGGGGGGGGGGCUGGUGGGGGGGGGGGGGGGGAAGGGAGGAGGAGCUUGCUCCUCUGACGUUAGCGGCGGACGGGUGAGUAACACGUGGAUAACCUACCUAUAAGCCUGGGAUAACUUCGGGAAACCGGAGCUAAUACCGGGUAAUAUAUUGAACCGCAUGGCUCAAUAGUGAAAGACGGUUUUGCUGUCCCUUAUAGAUGGAUCCGCGCCGCAUUAGCUAGUUGGUCGGGUAACGGCUUACCAAGGAAACGAUGCGUAGCCGACCUGAGAGGGUGACCGGCCACACUGGAACUGAGACACGGUCCAGACUCCUACGGGGGGCAGCAGUAGGGAAUCUUCCGCAAUGGGCGAAAGCCUGACGGAGCAACGCCGCGUGAGUGAUGAAGGUCUUCGGAUCGUAAAACUCUGUUAUUAGGGAAGAACAAAUGUGUAAGUAACUAUGCACGUCUUGACGGUACCUAAUCAGAAAGCCACGGCUAACUACGUG
rnacentral:rRNA from 1 species